rnacentral:lncRNA from 1 species
UUCCAUAAAAUUCAUAUCAUAUAUUCAGACCAAUAGCCAUGACAUGAUUAAUAUAUGCUCAAAAUAAAAAAUCUUGAAUUAUAAAAUAAUUCUCCAACUAAACUUAAUAUAUCAUAAAAUCUUAUAGGUACAUGCCGACAAAAAAUAGUACAAAAAAAUCACGAACUCAAUGAAUGCGGGAUUUUCUGCUAGAUAUUGAUAAGGAGUGCACACGAUUGAACCUAACCUGCACGAGGAGUACAAAUUGAACACUGAGUAAUCAACUCAAUGACAUUUCUAUAACUAAUAUUGUAAAAUGACAAACUAUGUAAUGUCAAAAAUAAAAAUCAAAGGUUCAUAAGCAGCUUAGUAUGUUCAAUUAUAUUACAAGACAUAAUUCUUUCUUAUCGAAUUUUUAGUCAUACCGUCUCGUUGUCACAUAUUCAUCUUCAACUCCCUGACCUGUAGACUCCAAAAAUGCAAUUAAAUAUAGAAUAAUCGUUUACAUUCACAUAUUAGAAAUAUCCAGCUUGGAUAGCACUUAAUCCUCAAAUAUGACAUGCUUCCAAGUUGUGCAUUUUAGGACAGUAGUGUAAAUUAAAACUUGAAAACUCAAGGAAGUUAAGGUUUAAUUUAUCUUCUUGCAAUUUAAACCAAAACCGAAAAUGUAAUGGUUUAAGAACCUUACCAGAUACAACAUCACAACUUAACACACGAGAAACUACAAAUUUACCAUUCGAAAAACUCACUUUUGAUCAUCAUUAACAGUAGCAAUUUAAUUUAUCGAACAAGGAUAUUUUAAACGCUAACUUAAGCAUUUUCAAACAACAUUGACAACAACCCAUUUAGUUAAUGAAGUCAACAUAAUCGAACACCAUAAAAAUGGGAAUUUAACGGCUAUUACAAGCAUCAUACAAAAUGUCAUAACUUGUGAGAUUUAACAAACAACUUUUCACCAUUAAUUCAUCCAAGGACAGUUGACAUUUAACAAGUAAAAGAAAAUGGAACUUAAUUCAUCCAAGGACAGUUGACAUUUAACAAGUAACAGAAAAUGGAACUUUACUUUACUUAAAGCAUCAUUUUAACAUCAAAUUUUAUGAACAUAUUUUAGAUAUUAAAGUUGUCGAACCCUCCUUGUCAAUUCAUCAAUUUAACACACAUAAAAUAAUUUUAUGAGAACUUACAAAAAAACUUCCAAGAUGGUUUCCUACACUUUAACCCUCCACCAUUUCAAGCACACUCACAUGGCAAAAAAAAUUAGUUAAAUCUACAAAUUGUCCUGUUUUUGCAUUCAGAUACUAAUAAUUUCAGUAUUUAUUCAACUUGAACAACCUUAAGUGUAAAGUUCAGUCAGCUUUGUCCAUUGUAUUUUUUUUUAUAUACAAUUUUUUUAAACUUAUGGUGAUUAUACAUUCACGAUAUGAAUCUAUUAUCACAAUAAUAGUAUUUGUACUUGAGAUACAUAAUAAUAAUGAAAGAAACUAAUGUCUUUUUAUCAAAUAUUAAGUGCAUGUGUCAACCAUGUGAAUCUAGCAGGUAGUAGUUGAGUUUAAGUUACGAAGUAGGUUCAUGAACCUGUUUCUCUACCUGGACACCAUCCAUUCUGGCCCAUGAUCUCAAAACAAAAGGAAAAAUAUAAGAAUUCAAGAGAAUACCAAGCUCCAAAUGAGCUGUUGAUCAAAUCUGUCAAGCUAAAUUCAUUUGAUCCAAGGAGCAACAUUUAGUUAUUCAUAUACCAACUUCAAACAUGAUAAUUUAUAGCAUUUAAAUACCUAAAGUUUCAGCAUUUGGACCAGCUUCCGACAUGAUAAUUUGCAGCACGUAACAUCUAAAUUUUUAGCUUACUAACAUCAUAAAUUUACAUCCAUUUGGACAUCAUUAGUUAACAUUUAACAAUUUAGUUUCAUAUUGUUCAGACCAUUUUAAUUUCCUGAUCACUUGAAUGAUCUUUAAUUAAUAUUUGGACAGCAAUAAGCAACCAUCGAUCAUACCACAUAAAUGGCUAAGAAAUUAGACAGCAUGCAUGCAAACUAAAUGCUUUAGCAGCUCCCUCGACAGACAGAAAUUUCACUAAAAUUUCACUUAAUUCCAUUACUCAUACCAGCAUAAAGAUGCAACAAAACAACCAAAGAAGAAAAUGUAAAGAACUCACAAUCAUUUAGUUAAUUAAGUAAAUAACAUAUGCAAUUGUUGCAUUUUUAACAAGUUUAAAGCAUCUUUAAAUAGGGAAAUUAAAUGCUGAAAGUCCAGCAUUUGGACAGAGGCCAAAGUUGGCAUUUAACCUCAUAAUUCCAUAUUAUUUCAACUAGUAGCAGUCCAUCUCCUCAACAAAUUUAAGUAUAUUCAGUUCAGCAAUUUCAUACUUAAAAUUGAGCAUUCUUAGCAACGGUCAUCAACAAUUAACUCAACAUUUAAUCUCUUCAUUUUUUCUUUUAUUCUGAAUAGCCAAACAUUAAUUUCAAACCUCAAUACAAUAUGCUAAUUUAACUACCAUGUACCAUAUACAACUCAAAACAACUAGCAUCAACUUGUUUAACUUUUAUUUAAUUUUUCUUUAAACAACCAAAUAACCAAGUGUAUAGUCCCAAUAAACUUCCAGCCAAAAUAAAAAAUUUUUAAGUAUUAGAAUGCACACAAAUUUUAAAGUUUUGGAUUCAAGCACUCACCAGAAAUUCCAAGCCGAGCCUAGCCUUGAGCAAGCUCUUUCACCAUCUUGCUGCUGCCUUUUCCUUUAGACGACUGGAAGAGGGAUUUUCCUUCAAUAAGUGAAUUUCUUGAGAAAAUAAGCUCCCAGCCGAGCCAAACCAAGCAUGCAAUCAGCUCUCUUCUCCCCCUCUAUUCAAACAGUAGCCCGAAAACAAGCAGAAAUUUCUUCCAUUCAAACCAGCCCCCAGAAAUAUAUGAGAAUGGAAGGAAGAAAAUACGAAUACCUUGGUUUACUUUUCCCCUUCCUUGUUAUUGCCGUCCAACUUCUUCCCUCCCCUUUCUUUUUCUUUUUUUUUAUUUUCCCUUUUAUUUCUUUCCAUUUUCAUGAAUUAUUUAUUAUAUUAACAUACCAUUAAUGAUCUUAAUCCCAUGACCGUCCACUUUAAAGGAACAAGGGGGUAUAAUUGCUACUUUAGUCCUGUUAAUUUAUUUCAAU